CACUCACCUGGAGGUCUCCUCGGCAUACUUCCAACCCCCCCUGCCGGAGAGGGAUAUCCCGGCAACAAAAACCUGAGACGCAACGACUAAAACACAGAGGUGACUGUCCUGCACAGCACCAACAAACAUCGGGUCACUGAGAAGCAGCUAAGAUGGCUUCCAAGCGAAGGCCCCAAAAACGAAGCACACAAGCCCAACCAACCACGAACCCCCUGG